UCAGAGUCAUAUUCAAGAUGCAGGUUGAUCGCAGGAUCGAAUUGCAUGGUAACAUUCCACUGAAGGAUACUUUUGAUAUUUCUACCAUAAUUUUAUAUCCUUCAGAUAGACAUGAUGUAUUGCUAGACGUCAAUCUUGUCUUAUAAGUUUGAUCAAAUUAAAGAGUUUAAUUCGAUCGUCAAUUAGAAAGGAUUCUAAUUGUUCAAAUUGGGUUAGCUUGAUUGGACCU
rnacentral:lncRNA from 1 species